AGGGAAUCUUCCGCAAUGGACGCAAGUCUGACGGAGCAACGCCGCGUGAGUGAUGAAGGUUUUCGGAUCGUAAAGCUCUGUUGCCAAGGAAGAACGUCGAGGAGAGUAACUGCUCUUCGAAUGACGGUACUUGAGAAGAAAGCCCCGGCUAACUACGUGCCAGCAGCCGCGGUAAUACGUAGGGGGCAAGCGUUGUCCGGAAUUAUUGGGCGUAAAGCGCGCGCAGGCGGUCUUUUAAGUCUGGUGUUUAAGCCCGGGGCUCAACCCCGGUUCGCACUGGAAACUGGGAGACUUGAGUGCAGGAGAGGAAAGUGGAAUUCCACGUGUAGCGGUGAAAUGCGUAGAGAUGUGGAGGAACACCAGUGGCGAAGGCGACUUUCUGGACUGUAACUGACGCUGAGGCGCGAAAGCGUGGGGAGCAAAC
rnacentral:rRNA from 1 species